rnacentral:rRNA from 1 species
GAUGAACGCUGGCGGCGUGCCUAAUACAUGCAAGUCGAGCGAACAGACGAGGAGCUUGCUCCUCUGACGUUAGCGGCGGACGGGUGAGUAACACGUGGAUAAACUACCUAUAAGACUGGGAUAACUUCGGGAAACCGGAGCUAAUACCGGAUAAUAUAUUGAACCGCAUGGUUCAAUAGUGAAAGACGGUUUUGCUGUCACUUAUAGAUGGAUCCGCGCCGCAUUAGCUAGUUGGUAAGGUAACGGCUUACCAAGGCGACGAUGCGUUGCCGACCUGAGAGGGUGGUCGGCCACACUGGAACUGAGACACGGUCCAGACUCCUACGGUAGGCAGGAGUAGGGAAUCUUCCACAAUGGGCGAAAGCCUGACGGAACAACGCCGCGUGAGUUAUAGAGGUCUUCGGAUCGUAAUACUCUGUUAUUAGGGAAGAACAAAUGUGUAAGUAACUAUGCACGUCUUGACGGUACCUAAUCAGAAAGCCACGGCUAACUACGUG